UACGUAGGGGGCAAGCGUUGUCCGGAUUUAUUGGGCGUAAAGAGCGUGUAGGCGGCUAGGUAGGUCCGUUGUGAAAACUCGAGGCUCAACCUCGAGACGUCGAUGGAAACCAUCUGGCUAGAGUCCGGAAGAGGAGAGUGGAAUUCCCGGUGUAGCGGUGAAAUGCGUAGAUAUCCGGAGGAACACCAGUGGCGAAAGCGGCCACCUGGACUGCACCUGACGCUGACACGCGAAAGCUAGGGGAGCGAACGGG
rnacentral:rRNA from 1 species